rnacentral:rRNA from 1 species
GAUGAACGCUGGCGGCGUGCCUAAUACAUGCAAGUCGAGCGAACAGAUAAGGAGCUUGCUCCUUUGACGUUAGCGGCGGACGGGUGAGUAACACGUGGAUAACCUACCUAUAAGACUGGGAUAACUUCGGGAAACCGGAGCUAAUACCGGAUAACAUAUUGAACCGCAUGGUUCAAUAGUGAAAGGCGGCUUUGCUGUCACUUAUAGAUGGAUCCGCGCCGAAUUAGCUAGUUGGUAAGGUAACGGCUUACCAAGGCAACGAUACGUAGCCGACCUGAGAGGGUGAUCGGCCACACUGGAACUGAGACACGGUCCAGACUCCUACGGGAGGCAGCAGUAGGGAAUCUUCCGCAAUGGGCGAAAGCCUGACGGAGCAACGCCGCGUGAGUGAUGAAGGUCUUCGGAUCGUAAAACUCUGUUAUCAGGGAAGAACAAAUGUGUAAGUAACUGUGCACAUCUUGACGGUACCUGAUCAGAAAGCCACGGCUAACUACGUG